CGCAAGAAUCUGUGCAGGUAAAUGAAGCCUAACCUUAACCUGCAGGAAAGGCUGCAGAGUCAGACUCCUGGCUCAACUGACAGGGCCCUGCGAGAAGGAACAGCGGAGCACUUGAAAAAGAAGCAAUGAUGAUGAAGAAGACAAGGAGAAAAGUCUGUGGAGUGGAGGCUGCAAAGUGUGGUGUGGGAGGAAGCAAACAGGUAAAUGUUCCCAAGUUCCUGCAGCUACAAAGGAGCGUUGAGAGGCAGAGCCUAGCGGUGGAGGCGGAAAGACUACACCCCCCUCCAAACAGAACCUGUCAGGGCUUUUUGUGAGCACUUUGCCUCUGUGAAUGCUCCAACAGCCAAUAAACACGUGUGUCCUUCCUUCAGAAGAAAGCAGGUGCCGUCAUCAACCAGAUCAGUUGUCCAGAAAGAAAUGAUUCUGUUGGAAAAAAUGCAUUCCUUAAAGCAGAGACUAUCCUCAAAACUGCCCUGUGGCUCUCAGCAGAGUCCCCCAAAGCUUGGAUUUAGAUGUGAGAGACCAGAGAUGGCAGGUGGAGACCCAGAAGCUUCGCUACUAAGCACAGAGCAAUGCGAGAGAUGUCAAGAGCUAGAGGGGCAGAGAAUUUAGUAGGCCAGCACCAUGCUGAACCUCCAGGCAGAGAAGAGUUCAAGGAAGUCCAAAGAAAUCACGAAGCAGGGAACAGAAGUGGAGUGAAGAAACUGGCAGAAAAUUAACGUGCAAUUGCAUCCCCAAACCUGAGCCACAAGGAUUCAUCAUACGGCACAAUAAGCACGGAGCAUUGGCAGGACAAAUGAAAUGUCAAUAGCUCCUUAGGGCUGGUUUAAUGGAUCUUUCAUAAAACCAUUGGCUGGAAUCAAAAUAACUCACAAGAGAAACAAUUCUCUCUCUCAUCAUCAAAGAGGUUGAGAAGUAUGUAGUGCUUAACAGCUGCAGGAAGAGAAGGGCUCACAUUUGACCUGCUCAUAACAACUUCUCUAAUCAUUUCUAAUUUUUCUUCUCUGGACAUUCACCUCUCAACCUCUAAUCAAAGCGAGGUCCACAGACCAGCCGUGGCCACACCACCUGGGAGCUUGUUACAGAAUCUCAGGCCUGUGCCCAGACCUACUGACUCUGAAUCUGCAUGUUAGUAGGAUCUCAGUUGAUUCCUCUCUGCUGUAAAGUUGGAAAAGCGUAUCUCCUAGCACCUAUUCUUACCCCUUAUCAUCCAUUCUCUGCACAGUUGCCUGAGUAAUCUUUUAAUUUAGUUUGUGUCCCCACUGAUUAUUCCCCCUGUAGAAGGAAAGCCCUGCGAGGGCAGGAGCAGGGCGUGGGCUGGGCCCCACUAAGUCCUCCGGCAUUUACUGGUGAGCUAUUCCCUACAAGGCAGUCUGCUAGGGACCAGGGAAACAAUACAAAUAGAGGAGGGCUUCUUUCCUCAAGCAGCUUUUAGCUACCUCUCUCCUUUCACAUUUUCACUUCCCAAAGCCCAACAUUAGAGUCACCUUUGAGUCCUUCUGCUUUUCGUUCCUCCUACCGGUCAAGGUCUUGGCUAGUCUCUGUUUAUCAGUUCAAGCUCAAGAAACAUCCCUCACUGUCAUGACCUCUCGUUGCAUGCCCACAGUCAACAGUUGCUUCUAGCCUCCAUUUUUUCCUGAAUGAUUUCAAAGUGAUGCUUUCUUCAACGUGCUCUCUCACACACAAGUCUAAUUUAUCUCAUGCGGCUAUAAAAAAAAAGUCAUCUGAACAUGCAGUUGGGGUCAUAAUGGUCUUUUAUUCAAUAUACACUCAAUAGCUUCCCAUUGAACACUGAAAAAAACCCUCCUCAACUUGGCAUUUAAGGUCCACUGCCAAUGUAUUAAGUUGAACUGAAUAAAACGGAACAGAAUAUUACCCAUUUCAUACGUUGCCACCUAAUAGUAUUCACGUACCUUUCCAUCCUUAUCGUCUAAGAAUGCCCUUCUGUCCUGCACACUAGAAUACAAAUGAGAUCAGUCUACACUUUCCAAGCAUGUUCACUUCCUUCGGUUCCUCUGCUAAUGUUUAUUCUUCUUGGAGCUCCUCCAUGCAUUCUCUCUCCCUUGAAUACUUCCAUUCAUCCCCAAGUUCCAUCUCAAAGGACUCACCCUCCGUGAUGUAUUUCCUGUUGAGUCCCUUCUCAAUUGUUAGUAAUCCUGCCAUGCAGUGAAGUCCCUUAGGAAAUGAUUCAUGUGUCUCUUACAGUACCAAUGAGCAUUGGUGCUACUUCUCGUCUUAUUCUUCUAUACUGAGCACUGAGCUCCCAAAGUGUUUUGCUGAAUAUAUUCCUUUGCAAGUAGAGCAUCUUAAUACAUAUUUGUGUAAUUGUUAGUACUCUCAGUUAUUUUUCUGGGUCAGUUUUACUUAAGUUUAAAUGUGGUAUUUUCUCACUGUACAUGAUAGUCCCUGCUUGUUUAUUAUUUUAGCCAUUUGAAACUUCCUUUGUCAUUAUUUAAAUUACGGAAAAAAAACCCUUUGCAAGAUAAGGCAUCCAUUAUGCUAUCUAGCACCUGAAUUUUCUAAUUUUCUUACAUAGAUUACACAGUUCAGUAAUGUAAAUUCAUUGUAAUGACAUAGGAGAUGCUUUAUUAAUUCAUUUUAAAACCUCCUCAUUUAUCUCUGAUAUUACUCCUUAAAGAAGAAAGUUCCCCAGGUCAAAUAGAAAAUAUACAUUAAAAAUAUAAAAUCUACCAGAACUUGAAUAGUAUAGUGAAGUAUUUGAAGAUCUAUUUACCUCUUCAUUAUGUAUAUUAAAAAAAGAAUCUACACGCAUACCAUUUAACCUUAUUGCAGCAACAUAUAUUUCAUGUGCAUACAGGAAACAUUAAAACAAUGACUAAGAGCUCAAAACUUACUAGAAAAAAAUGCUGUGCAUUGUGAUUAGUGUGAAAGACUCUGGGCCUGUCUUGUAUUUGAUUGUUCACCUGGAGUCUCAGUUCAUUCGUUUGUAAAAUGGACACCACGCUCACUUCCCAGGAUUACAGCAAGAGCUCAAAUGAGACUCCAUGACAUGCACUAAGGGCUUAGAAUAUUAUCUGGCACAUUGUCAACAAAAAUCAUAAUUUUAUUAAUAAAGAUAAAUGACAACAAGAAAGGAUAGAUUUCUCUAAAGCUGUUAUGAUUCUAGAAGUUUCUUUAUAGAUUCCUUAAGUAUAUAUGCAUAAAAUGAUGUCAUACUGAAGUAGUCCAUAAUGAGCAUGACAGUGUUGGAGAGGACUAUGACAUCACUGCUAGUGUUACAUUGGAAAGAGGGGGAGAGCAACAGCCUCCUCCCUUCCGCUGCAGCACAGUCUGGGCCGAAGCCGCGCGGAGCAGUAAACAAUGUCGAGCCCGGGAUGUUCGGUGAGUGUCCAGAAAGCAAAACUCAUGCUGCAGUUUGGCCUCUUUCCCCAGCUGAUGAAAGUGAAAGGACAUUGCAACAAUUCUUUCCACCUUCACCUAAAACCAGAAAAAUUCUUUUCCAUAGAGCCUGGAGAAAAUUUUACACAUGGUUUGCCUGCUUUUCUACCUGGUAUUAUCUAAUUUAUUACCAUAAAUUAAGGGUUUAUAAUGAACAAGUUAGGUAACUAAAAAAAUGUGCUAAAUGUCUGUCUCAUGGUACGUAAUCUCAUGAAAAACAA